GAGGGAAUAGCUCAGUGGUAGAGCGUGUGCUCAGUUUGCAUGGGGUCCUGGGUUCAAUUUCCAGUACCUCCA
rfam:Camelus ferus unplaced genomic scaffold scaffold598, whole genome shotgun sequence.